CGGAUGCACUGUAAGUCUGUGAAUGGACUUGCUAACGCUGGCUCUCACUUCUGACGAACAAGGUGUGUGGACUUACGUUUGCUGGACAGAAGCUUCUCAAAAGACAGUUUCCACAGCAGACAUUCCUCCAAGGUCAACCUGCAAAGAUGGCUGCUGGUCAAAUGACAGGAGAAGCACAGUUCGUGACCAGAAAAGUCUUCUCCUGUGGAUAAUCUUGGUGGUUACUGAUCGUGUUUUUCUGUUAUCUUAACCUGUAACCUGCACUGAAGGCUUUCAUAUUGUAAACAAAUAAAUGCAAGCAAUA